UGUAGGUUUUAAGGUUUUUUUUGUUCAAUUAAAAAAAAAAUCAGAUAAUAUAAUAAUGGACACUACAGAAGAGCAGAUGCUGGCAGCAUGUCUAUCCUGAGUAUCGGUCCUCUUAAUGAAUACAUACGAAUUUUGGAAGUCAACAAAUACAAACACACGCAUGUGUUAUAUGUCAAUCUAUAGUUAAAUGUAUAUUCUUGAAAAUAACAAUGAAAACUGCAUUUAAAUCGGCAAUGUUUUGACAAAAUACUUGCUAGACUUAGCUAGACUCGGCUCCUUGUAGUAGCUAAUCGGUUUCAUCAUGUACAAUUGUCUCAUAGUAUCGUAUCGGCCCUGUUGAUAGGUUGCUAAGAUUUGUUACAAUACCCAUGUGCUUGUUCUUAAAGAAGUAACUUAAUGGAACAAAACUCGUGCUCAUGUUGUAAAAUAUUUUUACAUUUUAUUAAAAGAUAAGCAGCAUAUAAUUAAAACAUUUGAUAAAGCUACUAUUAAUCCAUAAACAAACUAACAUAAUUGUGUGUUACGUUAUUAAAAUCAUAGCAUCACCCUGGAAUAAACAUUACAUACUUUCCAAGGAACACCGUAAAUUAUGAGAAUGAUUGUCGUAAUGGUCAUGGAUUACCAUCAAAUAAAUUACAACUUCUAAAAAUUGAAAAACAUUAACUUUCCAGCACUUCUUGAAGGUUUUUCGUUAAAGGCACGAUACUAUGAGGAGAACCAAUACUAUUAGAUUAUAAAAGAAUAAAUGGUAUAGUUGCAAUAAUCCAACUCCAAGAUAGUGAACCUCCAGGUCGCUGGGCAUCGCAACUGGUUAGGGCAUAUUUCAUGUUAAGUCUGCCACCCAGAAUUUAGGCGGCACUUGAAUAGGCCCAUUGUCAGCAGAGGUCAUUGUGAUGCUGGAUCAAAGGUCACAUGGUAGAGGAUGGACAGGCGUUGAAGAUAAGGCCCUGUCAAUGGUGGACACAACACCCUGCACAAAAAACGACAUGGAUAAGGGCUGGCGAUAUCAAAACACAAGGCUCGUGUGUCAACGCGGCUGGAGACACCUCGAUAAAGAAUGCGAUUCUAGUGGACCUAGAUUUUUUGCCAAUGAAGGCUGAAGAAGAUCUUUGGCAUGGUUUCACUCUGAAUGGAAAUCGACGCUUAAGGGGUCAAACAGAGACAAACAUGGACGCCUUUUGGAGUUUUAUUUAAAUCCCCCACCAGCCCUAGCCAUGUGGCAUCAAAAUAAGGUUCUGACCUUACGGGUGA